rnacentral:misc_RNA from 1 species
GAUGAAGAACGUAGCGAAAUGCGAUAAGUAAUGCGAAUUGCAGAAUUUCCGUGAGUCAUCGAAUCUUUGAACGCACAUUGCGCCCCUUGGUAUUCCAUGGGGCAUGCCUGUUCGAGCGUCAUUUACACCCUCAAGCUCUGCUUGGUGUUGGGCGUCUGUCCCGCUUCGUGCGCGGACUCGCCCCAAAGGUAUUGGCAGCGGUCUUGCCAGCUUCUCGCGCAGCACAUUUGCGUUUCUCGAAGCUACGGCGGAUCGGCGUCCAUCAAGCCCACAUCACAGUUUGACCUCGGAUCAGGUAGGGAUACCCGCUGAACUUAAGCAUAUCAAUAAGCGGAGGA